AACAAACUGUCCUACCAUUAAGUUUCCGUGAAAAAUAUGUUAUAAACGGUUACAAAAGUUCACAAAAUCGAGAACAACACACCGGCUCACAUGAACACCACCCACCACCAUCACCAUUCGUCUCUUGUUUCAACGGGGAGACACCAUCCGCAUGUCGUCUCAAGGAUUUUGGUUCACUUGUAAGCUUACUACAUCAUCUUUGUAUCCUGCAACGGUUUUCUACUUAAUCAAUUCAAUCAUGACAAGUCCCUUUCGCCACAUUAAAAAAAGUUUAUUUCUUUGAGUUAUUUGCUAACAAAUCUCAUUUUAUGGCUCCGGGUUCGUCACAUCAAUCUAAAGCGUCCUGAAGCUCCUAAAAGCUUCAUGCCAAACAUACCCCAAAUGGGUUAUCUUAUGGAAAAAAUUGUUCAAGAAUCUUGUGUAAUCACAACCGGAUGAACCUGGAAAGUCAAAUAGGGAACUUGUAAUAGACAAGGCAAGAAGUCAAGAGCUUCCCUUGGACCAGAGCCUUGGAGAACUUUACACAACUUAUUAUUUACAUUAUAGGCGGGAAUUGGUUUUUGAAGGCUCUUUGGGAUUUUAAUCUUGCUAGUUUGGGUGUGCAUCGGUCGUUAACCAGGAUGCAUGUAGCCAAGGGAAAACCAAUUGGUGAAACUGUUAACGUAAUGGAGAAAGAUAAGAUCGAUAUGGAUGAUGAAAUUAUCACCCUCGUUCAAGCUUAACAAACUGGUGCAUUGUCAUACAUAUGCAAAAGACAAGAAGAAAUUAAGGGAUCAAGAGUUUGUGAUUUCAGGGUUUUUGAAGAUGUGUUUCACUUUUUGCCAGA